UAGUGGCACCCGGUUGCAAUCCCAUAUGGAAGGGGGUGGGUUUGAGCCUCAGUGGAGGCGAUAUUGACUCUUUGCGCUUCAGUAGGUUGAGAAUGUAGUUAUGAACACAUACUGCAAUGUAACAGAGUCAGUAGUACUAAAAAAAAAUAUUGUUGUUGUUCUGGUUGGUAUUGUUGGUCGUUUGGUAGUGCGGUUAGUUGUAACUUGACUCGUUUUUAUGCAUUUGGUUCUGCUGGUAGGUUUUUGCUAAUAUGUUGGGUGAAGUUACAAUGCUUAACAUUGCAUUAGUAACGGCCUUGAAGGAAGGAAGGAAGGAAGGAGAUUGCCUGCCUAUAUAUUGCAAUUGAGGUAAUAUGUUUUUGUGGCAUUACUAAUUUUUCACUUCAGAUCAGAGUAUCUAUCUGCAAUUUCUUCAUUGGAAUUGGAUGGAGAAGUAUGGUGAGCUGUCAUUACAAGAAGUGCAUCGCAUGCUCCAAUCCCCUAUCCCCUGAGAUUUAUCUGGCCUUAAAACCUUUUUAUGUACUUACAAUUUAUUGCUUGCCCCAGCUUCUAAACUUCAGAACUAUUAAGCUUCAAAAUAAGUGGGCUAAACAAGUAUAAGUGGCCAUAUAAAUCUCUGUAAACAAGUAAAUCUGUCUAUAUACGGGUUACCGGGCCAUUUUAUAGAAAGUUGCUUUUCAUCUCUCAUUUCUUUGUUUCUUUUUGGGUAUUUUUUUUAGUAAAGGAUUUUAGUACAUAUGCAGACUCCCACAAAUUAGUUAUCAAAAGAAAGGCUGAUGUUUGGGAAUUCGGUUAGUGAUACUUGACAAUCUAGCUCAAGUUGAGAUAAUAGAUUCAAGUUGAGGAAUUUGAAAUUGUCUAAUCUGCACCUGGCUUGCUGUUACAUAUCAAUGUUCUCCAUUCAGAGCGGCUAUUAGAGCAACACACCUGUGGUUUUUUGAGGUUUUUUCAGAGCAUAGAAACUAUUGUGUUGGUUUUAUACUGAUGUAGAGCAUGGCUUUUUGCCAAAUUUUUUUUCCUGGAGAAGGGAAAAAAAUGCGCAAGUGGAGCGCACUUUGCGCCCAACAGGCGUGUGUUCCACAUGCGCUCGUUGGGGUGCGUCAGAGUGGCCCUAGCUGGUGGCCACUCUAACAAAACAACCGUUGCUUUCCUUUUUUUUUUUUAAUUGUCUUUUUUUUUUUUUUUGCUUUUCUUUUUUUCUUCUAUUUUUAUCUCUCAUACAUGGCAUCUUAAAAAAUUGUGUAGAAACCUAACAGAUGUGGAUGCUCUUAUAGAUUAUCAGCUUAUAGUAUAGGGCAGAUUUCUUGUAUACUUUCAAUCUUGACCUUGUAUUUCAUGGAAAGGUCAGUUUGUGUUUCUUGGUAGGUAUGUCAGACUUGUAUGGCUUAAACUUGAGGCCUGAUCAAGAUUUGCUAAAUUUGGCUUCUUACCAGAUAUAUGGUUAUUAUGUGGUGGACCUGGUGGCAAUGGUUUUUAGUAUGUUGGAAAUGUUUUUUAGUUAUUUCAAUCAAUGCUAUAGUGUCAA